AUCUGGGCACACCCGGGAAGAGAAGUAGCUGGCGCCUUAGAGCUCUGCUAGAUAUAACAUCUCAACUAUCAGGAGAAGCAGCGUGCUGUGUGCUAUGAGGACCUAAAGCACUUGUUCAGAGCCAAUUUCUUUGAGGAAUUUGCAACUACCCUGAGAUCUGGAGAAGGACAAGAUUGUAACAGGCAACAGAGAAGAAAGACUACAAAGACCCAAGUCAAGGUCAUGGGCAUUAUGGAUGAAACCAAAGCCUGAAGAAAGGCACUUCUGCUGUCCACCCUGAGAAGAUGCCCCAGAAGGACCUGAACAACAGCUGCUGCAGCUGUCUUUGGCCUUUCAGCCUCCAAAAAGGGAACUGGAAGUCCCACCUACUCCUUCCUCCCAGCAAUUGGUCCAUGGCUUCUUUACUGACAGAUCAAGAACCAACUGGGGAACAGGACCAUAACAUCAGCAUCGCCCCUACAGUUGACAGACUGAAAAAGUCAGGACAGUGAUACAAUCAUCCUGGUGGAGAACCAGGGACCUUUAAGCCAUUUAGAAAUGCAGAAAGAUAAGCUGAGAUGGGAAGUUAUCUGGGGCCGCACUUGAGUCCAAAAUCCCCAACACUUCAGCUCUGCUGUCUAGAUUUGUCCAUUGUAAUGUACUUAAGAAAUGGGGGGCGUGGGGAGGGAGGAUGGGGCAGGCCACAAUGCCAGUGUGCACUUGCUUGCCUAACGGUAAAAACAUGGAGAUGAUUUAUGCAUGAGAUUCCAGCACGACAGAAACUUCCCGUGUGUUUGCUGUACGUCUCUCCAUCUCAUGUGUGCUCAAGGAACGGGUCUGUCAUCCAGCUCCCGAUCAUGAAAGCAGAUUCCUGCUGCACAUAGGGAAAGUGUUUCUGUAGAAACAAAAUACACUCCACUUUUCAUGCAUCAAAUAUUUAUGGAGGGUUGUCAGGGGGCACCUGCCUGUAACCGCAGCACUUGGUGGGCUGGGAAGAUGAGAAUUUAAAAGUCACUCUAUACUACAAAGCAAUUUGAGGUGAGCCUGGGCUACAUCACACCUAUCUUAAAAAGGAAAAGCAAAUACACACAUGCACAAAGACAUACAUACAUACAUACAUACAUACAUAUAUAUAUACACAGACACACACACUAUAUAUAUAUUACAAAGCAAUUUGAGGCCAACCUGGGCUGCAUCUUACCUGCUGAGCCAUCUCACCAGCCCUCAGGAUGAUAUUUUCUAGUUCCAUUCAUUUGCCUGCAAAGCUCAUUCAGUCCUUGCUUUUAAUAGUUAAAUAGUAUUCCAUCAUGUAAAUGAAACACAUUUUCUGUAAUCAUUCUUUGGUAUAGAGACAUCUGGGUUGUUUCCAGCUUCUGCAUAUUAUGAAUAAAGCUGCUAUGAAGGUAA
rnacentral:lncRNA from 1 species